rnacentral:lncRNA from 1 species
AAUCUUUGAUAGGGAGCGUUUUCCUCCGAUGGGGUCCUACAUGAAGCAAAUUCAGAUUAAUCGAACUUCGAUGCGGGUACCGAACAUCAAAUGAGAACAAAAAAAAUUACAUCCAAUAAUUUUAAAUUAGUGAUUUUAAACUUUUGACCUCUAACUCUCAUGAACAAACUUUCAAGGUUAAUGGCCAAAAUCACAUCAGCCACCUCAGCUAAAAGGAAUGCCAUAUCAGCAAAUAGUUUAAGGCUUUUUAUGGUUUACAUAGUGAAAAUUAUUUUAUUUAUUUGUUACUAUUUUAUUUUUAAAAUCAGACCGCAUGAAUUUUAAUUAACAUAUUAAAAUGUAUCUUUUUAUUAUAUUAAUAUGUGAAAAAUCACAACUUAUAACAUUUCUUAUAUAAUUUAUGAUAAUUUAAAUUUAAAAAUUUAAAUUAUUCAUUUUAAAAUACUAAUUAACAUUUAUACUUAGCGAAAUAGUAGUAAUAAGUUAAAGUAAAUAGAUGGUUAGUACAUGUAAUUACGACUUUUUAACGUACUCUUUUUACAGAUCACGCGCCACUACUGCGCAGCUUUCCAUGAUAUGCGUGGAAGCAUCUUUAGCUAAGAUUAUCGAAAAUGCGGCUAACGAGGAAGAACAAUUGCCCACCCUCUCUUUCAGCGCGUUCAUACACUCAACAUAUUGUAUAUCUCGUUUCUCGAUUGAUGU